GAUGAACGCUAGCUACAGGCUUAACACAUGCAAGUCGAGGGGAAGCGACAUCGAAAGCUUGCUUUUGAUGGGCGUCGACCGGCGCACGGGUGAGUAACGCGUAUCCAACCUGCCCAUCACUUGGGAAUAACCUUGCGAAAGUAAGACUAAUACCCAAUGACAUCCCACGAAGACAUCUGAAUGGGAUUAAAGAUUUAUCGGUGAUGGAUGGGGAUGCGUCUGAUUAGCUUGUUGGCGGGGUAACGGCCCACCAAGGCAACGAUCAGUAGGGGUUCUGAGAGGAAGGUCCCCCACAUUGGAACUGAGACACGGUCCAAACUCCUACGGGAGGCAGCAGUGAGGAAUAUUGGUCAAUGGGCGAGAGCCUGAACCAGCCAAGUAGCGUGCAGGAUGACGGCCCUAUGGGUGGUAAACUGCUUUUAUAAGGGAAUAAAGUGGGUCUCGUGAGACUUUUUGCAUGUACCUUAUGAAUAAGGACCGGCUAAUUCCGUG
rnacentral:rRNA from 1 species